rnacentral:rRNA from 1 species
CCUACGGUGAGCAGCAGUGAGGAAUAUUGGUCAAUGGGCGCGAGCCUGAACCAGCCAAGUAGCGUGAAGGAUGACUGCCCUACGGGUUGUAAACUUCUUUUUUAAAGGAAUAAAGUGAGGCACGUGUGCCUUUUUGUAUGUACUUUAUGAAUAAGGAUCGGCUAACUCCGUGCCAGCAGCCGCGGUAAUCCGGAGGAUCCGAGCGUUAUCCGGAUUUAUGGGGUUUAAAGGGAGCGUCGAUGGGUUGUUAAGUCAGUUGUGAAAGUUUGCGGCUCAACCGUAAAAUUGCAAUUGAUACUGGCAGUCGUGAGUACAGUUGAGGUAGGCGGAAUUCGUGGUGUAGCGGUGAAAUGCUUAGAUAUCACGAAGGACUCCGAUUGCGAAGGCAGCUUACUAAACUGCCACUGACAUUGAUGCUCGAAAGUGUGGGUAUCAAACAGGAUUAGAUACCCUUGUAGUC